UUGCUUUAACAGCACAUAUACUAAGAUUGGAACAAUACAGAAAAGAUAAGAAUAGCCCCCCUAUGCAAAGAUGACAAGCAAAACUGUAAAUCAUUCCAUAAAAUA
ensembl:snRNA U6 U6 spliceosomal RNA